GUCACUCCCCCAACCCCUUUUUGAAUCUCUCUCGAUUCGUCUGUAAAGGGAAACAUGGAAAGACUAUUCUUGAUCAAACAGCUGCAAGCACUGUCUCACUCAUUUUGCUCUUGCUGAUGAUAUCAUUUCCAAGAUAUGCAGCAAUGUUGGGUGCAUCACCUACAAGUAGAAUCAGUUUGAAACCGGUAAUCUUUAAUCCUUCAGUUGAUCUUCUUCUGAGUUAUAAGAAAAGCUUUGAGAUUGAAAUCUAAAAUGUUGACAAGUAGAUAUCAUGGACUAAUUACACAUAGCAGAAUUGCAGAAAGCAGGCAGUCAUACAACUUGUGGUGGAUAGCUACCAUCAUUAACGGAGUAGGAAAAAAAAGAUAACAUUUUCAAAUAUCACUGUUAUGAGAGACC